AUCAAAAUAAAAUAACCCCACCCUAGGCCCAAUUGUGAAUGAACCAUUGCGUUGACUCUUCUCGUAGCGGUUCUUGAAAGCUUUGGCUAAGCCAGGACUUGCCGACCAACAAGUUACUACUGUUUCUUUGGAUAAACCGGUAUUAUUCUCUCUUGAUACUUACCACCUCCUCAAUAAAAAUCUUCUAUCUGGUUUAACAAAACUAGCUUUAAAAUAAACUAUUUUUAUGUCUGGUUUAGUAAGGCUGAUUAAUUCUGUUGCAAUUAAAAAAUUAGUUAUCUUAGCAUUCUUCAAUCUAAAUGGAAAAUCAUGUAGCAAUCUUAGAGCUCUCACUCUGAUAGCAAUUUGAGAAUUUUCUCAAUUACAUAAAUAUGCAAUUUUCAAGUGGAUGAUAUAUGUAGAAAAGCAGAAUUUAGCAAAGUGAACUGAGUUUUCGUUUUAGAACUAAUCUGCAAGUGAACCUUAAGAACUUUUGAUCAUGCACAUUUAAGUUCAACCAUUGAGAACAGGCUCUCAAAUUAUACAAGAACUUCAGGUUCCAUCCUGGGAAAAUUUUUCCCUUUGGUAGUGUACUGAAAUUUUAUCUGUGCAUUCAUUCUUAGAUCUUCUUGUUCAUACUUCGGUUAAUUUUGGCUCUUUCAAUCAAAUUUAUUGUCCAAAGUUGGGAAGAAACUCCCUUCAUCAAUGUAUGGCAACCUCCAUGGAUUCCUCGAUAGCGGAUCAAUUUGUUUUUACAUAGAAUUGUUGUGCAGAAGCCUCUGAGGAAGAAACCAUAUGGAAAGAAAGAAAGAAAAAAAAUAAUUCCGUCACAGUGACUGAGAGAACAGAAUUUGCUGAUUGAAUGUCACGAUCCGGUUCUAAAAAAAAGCGAAAGAGAGAGGAUUUAAACAUCCUUAGUGGGAGUACUAGGCCUAGAAGGAAGGGAAUCGAGAUAGAUACCGAGAACAUGGAGCAAAGAGCUGACAGUGUGGAUUAUAUCUCACAAUUGCCUGAUCAUAUUAUCCAUCAGAUCAUGGGUCGCCUGCGUUGUAACUGUUGAAGUUGGUCAGCAUGAAGCCAACACUCGAUUCCAUACAGGCCAUGAAGACCAAGCAAAGCUGGAACAGAUGCAAGGGCUGCUGAUGCAAGCUCAUUUUGUUCAUUUUGUUAUAUUUAGUUGAUGAAAUGAGUGUUAGUUCAUUUCUAACUAAGUUAGCUUUCUGAUUGAUGUAAUUAGCUUAUGUAUGAGCUGUAAACACACUUUUGUAUAAGUUUACAAGCUAAGAUUUCAAGUUUCUAUGUAAUUAGUGGAGGUAGGUAAUUUCUUGUUGAUUUUGACAAGCCUUAUGCUUGAGUUAUGUACUGGCUUCAAGCCAUUGUUUUAUGUAUGAAUCAAAUCAGUUUUUGUUCAUCAA